AGGUAGGUGUGAGAGGCCUGCAGAUGCAGGCAGGCCAGGCGGCUGAUGGUAGCCUCCACCUCGGUGGAAUAAGGCUGACAAAUUUGGGAGCUCAUGGUUGUUCGGCAAUAAGGCGUUAAGGUAGGGUAAAAAAAAAGCAAAAGAAAACCACUG